rnacentral:rRNA from 1 species
GCAUCGAUGAAGAACGCAGCGAAAUGCGAUACGUAAUAUGAAUUGCAGAUAUUCGUGAAUCAUCGAAUCUUUGAACGCACAUUGCGCCCUUUGGUAUUCCAAAGGGCAUGCCUGUUUGAGCGUCAUUUCUCCCUCAAACCCCCGGGUUUGGUGUUGAGCAAUACGCUAGGUUUGUUUGAAAGAAUUUAACGUGGAAACUUAUUUUAAGCGACUUAGGUUUAUCCAAAAACGCUUAUUUUGCUAGUGGCCACCACAAUUUAUUUCAUAACUUUGACCUCAAAUCAGGUAGGACUACCCGCUGAACUUAAGCAUAUCAAUAAGCGGAGGA